rnacentral:lncRNA from 1 species
UUAGAAAGCUUUUAGUUUGUACAAACGGUGAGUAAACUUAUUAUUAUUGUAAAUUAUCUAGAGUUUAUUUUAAAUGCCCUUUAUGUAUUUUAUGAAAUGAGAACGAGAUUAAAACGGGAUUUUUGAUGUUUUAGGAAUAAAUGUGACAAAUAAAAAUAUAUUGUAUUGAUUAUGAAAUUGAGUAAUUGGAGGCUGCAAAUUGACUUGAAAAAUAUAUAUUUUCCUAGGAAUGGCUUAUGAGAAAUGAGUAUAUGUGGCUAUAUUUUGUGAAUGCAUUGGGAAAUUUAUGUAAUUGGUUUUACUAUGCAGGCUGGAUAAAUAAAUAAAAGCCACGUUAUACUGUCGAAAUUUUAUUAAAAUUGGUGGGUUAGUCACUGCAGUGACGGGUUUCCGUGGACUGCCUAUUAGAGGGGCACGGUAAACCCAGUUAUAUAGUUACUCCGGUUGUAGAGGCGAGGAGGGUAACUCCCGGGGUAGUAUUAGAGCUCACUUCACGUCGAACCCCCACGUGAAUGUGUAACUCGGCAAACGUCAAGGAACGGCUGGUUUUAAAAAGAAAAAUGUGUUUCACGUGUGAAUAUUUUAACACCCUUGGUGGACUCGGUUAGAUACCUCGGCCAAGGUAUCCCCGAGGAUUAGUUUUGGCUUGAGCCUUGUUUUAAUAAAAGACAUAAGCCUUAACAACUGUUUUGGUAAAUUACAAAUAUUUUAUGGUUUAAGAAAUAAAUUAAAAACAUUAUGAAAUGGGUUGAAAUUUGUUAUUUAAACUUGCCUCCAUUUUACUCGCCUUUAGAUAUUUAUGAUAAUGUCUGUUUACUCAUUGGGAUUGCAAAAUCUCACCCAACUCCUUUCCACCCAUUUCAGGUUCAGUAUAGACUGUAGAUAGCUGAUCUCAUCGAGGACUACAGUGGGAUCUGCAUUUUUCAAACCGUAGGUUCACAGUCCUCUUUACUUUUGUUUAUUCGGGGGCACUCUUGUUAUUGUAAAUUAAAUUAAAUAUUUUGGCUUAUUGUAUUUAAGUAUGUAUAAAUUUAUUUAGCUUUUACGCUAUAAAAAUUAUUCACGUAUAACUCUAUAAAUAUUGUUUUAUAAGAAAAUAG